ensembl:lncRNA
CAGACCCCAGUGAGGAGACAUUUCUCAUGAUGGCAUGCCCCUGCGGGAACAGUUGGAACCAUGCACAGGAGAAAAUAGUGAUUGCUAACUAACCAGCCAUGGGGUCACAGCUGUGCUGGGUGAGUGAGGAGUCCUCGGCCAACCCACACAGCACCUGGAGGCAGAAGUGCUUUGUUCAUCACCAUGUUACUUCACUGCUUUCUCUCACUGAGUUACAGCCACUGUUUUCUCUGAUUUGUCAUUUGUCUUUGUGAACCCUCCCACCUCUCCAUAAUAUGGUCGCCUUGGAAUUCAUUUUGGAAAUGAAGGGCAGGUCUACCUCUCUGGGUUCCCCCUUGGUGAAUGUCACAGGCAGUCACUUUUUCACAGUGGGGCUUUUGCUCCAUACACGUUAUUCUCAUUUUCACAUGCAGAAGUUGGGGCUCAGAGAGGCUGAGUGACUUGCCCCUGGUGACACAGCAUGAUGCUGCCUAUGGUGCAUAAUCAGGGAGUGAGUCCUUGUGAGCAGAGAAGUGAGGCUGAUGGGGCAGAAUGAGUCCCAAGGCACCAGCAGGAGUGUCCUCAUGGGACCUCUCUGAAUCUGACCUUAUGCAGCUUCCUCUUCUGCCCCAUCCAUGCUGGCCUCUCAGUUCCGUGACGGUGCCAAGUUCUCUUCCACCUCGGGGCACUUACAUUGCUUUUCUUUCUUGAUUGUUUCUGUCCUUGAACUUCUGCCAUGAAACUGAGGAACAGACCACAUUUCCCAGUGGUUAAGAGUUUGGUAGCUGGGGGAGUUGUUCGUGGAAGGAUGAGUUUCCAAGCCUCAUGUUCCUCUUCUGUUAAAAUGGAAUCCUCUCUGAAGAUUAUCUAUUUUAUCAUCUUAAAAAGAAAACGUUUCUUACCUGGAGCACAUCGGAAAUCAACACAGUCUUAGCCCGGAGCCAAGACUGCUGUCACCCACGUUUUUGACGCUGCCUGGCAGCUUCUGGUGCUGCUGUGCUUACUGGGAGGAAGAGGCGGGUCCUAGAUGGCUGGCGCUUGCGCAGUCGGCCUGGUGGAGAGCAAGACGGUAUUAUCUGCUGGUGGCGGCAUGUUGUUGGCUGCCGGAAUUCUCGGCUGAUGGCAGCGUUUUCGGCAGCUGUACUGGCCCAGAGAGUGCGGGAGUGAAGGCUGACGGCCGUGGGGGCAGGCGGCGGCUCAGCUGUGGGAAGCGGAGAAGCGGGUGGCUGGGCUUGCGCUGGAGGACAGGACUGCGGGUUACAAGGUAUGUUUAUUUGUAACCUCUAACUUAUUUAUUUAGUCAGUUCUAGCAGUGUUUUUGGUGGGUGUUUUAGUUUUCAUUGAUUUUUAUGAGUCUUUUUAGGUUGUCUAUAUCUUCUGGAUUUAAUCUUAGUAGGUCACGUGUAUUUGUUAUCCAGGGAUUCCUCUGUUUCUUCUAGUUUUCCAGUUUAUUAGCAUAUAGUACUGAAUAGCAAUUUCUCUGAAACCUUGUGUUUCAGUGAUGUAGAUUAUAAUCUCUGCUUUUUUUCUGUAAUUUUAUUUACUGGAGUUUUUAUCAUUUUUGUUAGUCUGGUUAGAAGAUUAUCUGCUUUUUAAAAUUUUAUAUCAGGUAUGUAAAUUUCAUGUAUUUCUUAUAUACAGAUUCAAACAUACUGAUACUACUUCCCAUGCUAGCAUCUCUCAAGCCUGCACUCCCAGCCUUCUUCUUCCUCCUUCUCUUGUUCCCACUCUUAAUUCUUCAUCGGUUAAAGGUAGGGUGGGCAAGUUCCACGUGAGCUGCGUAGUGAUCUUUUUUCAAAAAAAUAUAUAUUCUUAAGUGGCAGAGAUCCAGAGAUAGGGAAACACAGAGAUAGAGGUCUUCCAUCUGCUGCUUUGCUCCCGAAAUGGCCACAGGGCCCAUUGCUGGGCUGAUCCAAAGCUAGGAGUCAGGAGUUUCUUCCAGGUCUCCCAUAUGGAGACUGCAUUCAGUAAGCGUGGUAAAAGGGACAUCUUUGUGUUGUUAUAUGUUUGACAAAAUGAUUUCACAUUCUCCCCAUCCAGCAUGACAUUGGCUGUUGGUUUGUCAUACAUAGCCUUUAUGAUAUUGAUAUGUAUUCCUUCUGUGUAUAUUUUGUGUAGUUUUUAAUCAUUUUUAUUCUAC